rnacentral:rRNA from 1 species
UACGAAGGGGGCUAGCGUUGUUCGGAUUUACUGGGCGUAAAGCGCACGUAGGCGGAUCGAUCAGUCAGGGGUGAAAUCCUGGAGCUCAACUCCAGAACUGCCUUCGAUACUGGCGACCUUGAGUCCGGGAGAGGUGAGUGGAACUCCGAGUGUAGAGGUGAAAUUCGUAGAUAUUCGGAAGAACACCAGUGGCGAAGGCGGCUCACUGGCCCGGUACUGACGCUGAGGUGCGAAAGCGUGGGGAGCAAACAGG